AUUGAACGCUGGCGGCAGGCUUAACACAUGCAAGUCGAGCGGGGUGAUGGUGCUUGCACUAUCACUUAGCGGCGGACGGGUGAGUAAUGCUUAGGAAUCUGCCUAUUAGUGGGGGACAACAUCUAGAAAGGGAUGCUAAUACCGCAUACGUCCUACGGGAGAAAGCAGGGGAUCACUUGUGACCUUGCGCUAAUAGAUGAGCCUAAGUCGGAUUAGCUAGUUGGUGGGGUAAAGGCCUACCAAGGCGACGAUCUGUAGCGGGUCUGAGAGGAUGAUCCUCCACACUGGGACUGAGACACUGCCCAGACGCCUACUGUAGGCAGCAGUGGGGAAUAUUGGACAAUGGGGGGAACCCUGAUCCAGCCAUGCCGCGUGUGUGAAGAAGGCCUUAUGGUUGUAAAGCACUUUAAGCGAGGAGGAGGCUCUUUUGGUUAAUACCCAAGAUGAGUGGACGUUACUCGCAGAAUAAGCACCGGCUAACUCUGUGCCAGCCGCCGCAGUAA
rnacentral:rRNA from 1 species